rnacentral:rRNA from 1 species
AUGUUUGACGGAGUUGAGCGGAUGCUUCGGGGAGUCAGGCAUGUGCCGGGGCUAAGGAGGAAUCUAAUUUCGCUUGGUGUUCUUCAUGAUGGUGGUAUGGUAUUCCGUUGUGAUCGGGAUAGGAAGACCAUGAGAAUCAUGGAAGAUGAGGUGACCGUGAUGAUUGGAGAGAGGACGGCUUCGCAUCUUUACAAGUUGCAAGGAAGCACUAUUGCAGGUGGAGUCACGGAGACUAGAGUUGUGGGAGUAGCAACGGGAUUGGUAUGA